GAUGAAGAACGUAGCGAAAUGCGAUAAGUAAUGUGAAUUGCAGAAUUCAGUGAAUCAUCGAAUCUUUGAACGCACAUUGCGCCCGCCAGUAUUCUGGCGGGCAUGCCUGUUCGAGCGUCAUUACAACCCUCAGGCCCCCGGGCCUGGCGUUGGGGAUCGGCGGAUCCCCCCGUGGGCACACGCCGUCCCCCAAAUACAGUGGCGGUCCCGCCGCAGCUUCCAUCGCGUAGUAGCUAACACCUCGCGACUGGAGAGCGGCGCGGCCACGCCGUAAAACACCCAACUCUUCUGAAGUUGACCUCGAAUCAGGUAGGAAUACCCGCUGAACUUAAGCAUAUCAAUAAGCGGAGGA
rnacentral:misc_RNA from 1 species